UGCAAGUCGAACGCAGUAGCAAUACUGAGUGGCAAACGGGUGAGUAUAAUGUGGGUAUCUGCCUUUUGGUUCGGAAUAACACGGGGAAACUUGUGCUAAUACCGAAUAAGCCCUUACGGGGAAAGUUUUAAUGCCGAAAGAUGAGCCCGCACUUGAUUAGCUAGUUGGUAAGGUAAAAGCUUACCAAGGCAACGAUCAAUAGCUGUUCUUAGAGGAAGACCAGCCACAUUGGGACUGAGACACGGCCCAGACUCCUACGGGAGGCAGCAGUGGGGAAUCUUGCACAAUGGGGGAAACCCUGAUGCAGCGAUGCCGCGUGAGUGAAGAAGGCCCUUGGGUUGUAAAACUCUUUCGUCGGGGAAGAAAAUGACUGUACCCGAAUAAGAAGGUCCGGCUAACUUCGUGCCAGCAGCCGCGGUAAUACGAAGGGACCUAGCGUAGUUCGGAAUUACUGGGCUUAAAGAGCUCGUAGGUGGUUAAAAAAGUUGAUGGUGAAAUCCCAAGGCUCAACCUUGGAACUGCCAUCAAAACUUUUUAGCUAGAGUGUGAUAGAGGUAAGUGGAAUUUCUAGUGUAGAGGUGAAAUUCGUAGAUAUUAGAAAGAACACCAAAUGCGAAGGCAACUUACUGGGUCACUACUGACACUGAGGAGCGAGAGCAUGGGUAGCGAAGAGGAUUAGAUACCCUCGUAGUCCAUGCCGUAAACGAUGUGUGCUAGGCGUUGGAAAUAUAUUUUUCAGUGUCGCAGCGAAAGCAUUAAGCACACCGCCUGGGGAGUACGACCGCAAGGUUAAAACUCAAAUGAAUUGACGGGGACCCGCACAAGCAGUGGAGCAUGUGGUUUAAUUCGAAGAUACGCGCAGAACCUUACCAACGCUUGACAUGUUCGUCGCGAAACUAAGAGAUUAGUUUCUUCAGUUCGGCUGGACGAAAC
rnacentral:rRNA from 1 species